UGGGGAAUUUUGGACAAUGGGCGCAAGCCUGAUCCAGCCAUACCGCGUGAGUGAAGAAGGCCUUCGGGUUGUAAAGCUCUUUCAGACGGAAAGAAACGGUUACGGCUAAUACCAGUGACUAAUGACGGUACCGUAAGAAGAAGCACCGGCUAACUACGUGCCAGCAGCCGCGGUAAUACGUAGGGUGCGAGCGUUAAUCGGAAUUACUGGGCGUAAAGCGUGCGCAGGCGGUUUGGUAAGACAGAUGUGAAAUCCCCGGGCUUAACCUGGGAACUGCAUUUGUGACUGCCAGACUAGAGUGUAGCAGAGGGGGGUAGAAUUCCACGUGUAGCAGUGAAAUGCGUAGAUAUGUGGAGGAAUACCGAUGGCGAAGGCAGCCCCCUGGGCUAACACUGACGCUCAUGCACGAAAGCGUGGGGAGCAAACAGGAUUAGAUACCCAAGUAGUCCCUGAGCGGGCUGGCAAGGCGCAU
rnacentral:rRNA from 1 species